GGUUUUUACGGCUGGAUGCCCUUCCUAUCACCAACCACCCCAUAGAGUGUACGGAGUGCCUUUUACAAGGCACCGGCCUUGGCAUCUUUUACACA